rnacentral:siRNA from 1 species
GGGGUGAUCCGCAAUGUCCUGC